rnacentral:rRNA from 1 species
AUGCUAGUGAAUCACAAUAAAUGUGUAGUUCAUGUUCUCAAAAUCAAUUUGGACCAUCACAUAAUAUCUUCACUGUUUCAACUUUUAUUUUGUUUAUCGAGAAAAAUAAUUACUACUCCUCACCCCUUGGAAUCAUGCACAUCUGUUCCUGGUUUACCUAUAAUUGGGAAUCUACUUCAGCUAACAGAAAAGAAGCCCCAUAAGACCUUUGCAAAAUGGUCUGAUAUUUAUGGGUCAGUAUACACCAUAAGGACUGGGGCUUCAUCUGUAGCUGUGGUCAACUCAACAGAAGUAGCCAAGGAGGCAAUGGUUGCGAAAUUCUCAUCCAUAUCUACUCGAAAGCUACCUAAAGCAAUAUCAGUGUUGAGUCAUGAUAAAAAAAUGGUUGCUACAAGUGACUAUGGUGACUUCCACAAAAUGGUGAACCGCUUUGUUAUGGCGGGCUUGUUAGGUUCUUCUGCUCAGAGGCAAUUUCGGGAGACGAGAAACAUGAUGAUGGAUAACAUGUUAAGCACUUUUCAUACAUUGGUGACCGAUGACCCACAUGCUCCUCGGAACUUUCGAGAAAGUCUAGGUGAGGAUGUAAGUUCAGUUUAUGUGAAGGAGUUUGGGCGCGAUAUUUCGAAGGAUGAAAUCUACCAGAUCAUUGUGGCUGACAUGAUGAUAUGCGUCAUUGAGAUUGAUUGGAGGGAUUUCUUCCCGUACCUCAGCUGGAUUCCAAACAAGAGCUUUGAUACAACAGUUGCUACCACGGAAUCUAGGCGAACCGUGGUGAUGCGAGCCAUGGUCGAUCAACAGAAGGAAAGAAUUGCACGCGGCAAGGCAAAGGCAUCCUAUCUGGACUUUUUGUUGGCAGGGAACACAUUGACAGAUGACCAAGUAACGAUGCUAGUGUGGGAGGCAAUCAUAGAGGGUGCAGAUACUACUUUGGUGACGACCGAGUGGGCUAUGUACGAGCUUGCCAAAAACCCCGAAAAACAGGCAAGCUACUCUUACCCUUCUAAGUUACUUGAUGCUCUCGGGCAUGCAUUUUUAACACCAGAUUUCUCAUGGCAGGAUCGUCUCUACCAGGAGAUCCAGGAGGUGUGCGGCGAGGACAUGGUCACGGAGGACCAUCUUCUUCGGCUGCCGUACCUGAAUGCCGUGUUCCACGAGACGCUGCGGCGCCAUUCUCCUGUCUCGCUUCUGCCUCCAAGGUUCGUCCAUGAGACCACCACACUCGCCGGCUACGAGGUCCAGGCCGGAACAGAGGUGAUCGUCAAUGUGUACGCGUGCAACAUGGACAAGAAAGAGUGGGAGGAGCCCGAGGAGUGGACGCCGGAGAGGUUCCUGAACGACGGCAGGUUCGACGUCGCUGACAUGUACAAGACCAUUGCAUUCGGCGCUGGGAGGAGGGUCUGCGCCGGGAGCGCGCAGGCGACAGGCAUUUCGUGUGCCGCCAUGGCGAGGUUCGUGCAGGAAUUCGCAUGGACGCUCAAGGAGGGCGACGAGGACAAGGUGGACACCGUCCAGCUCAUGGGCUACAAGCUUCACCCCCUCUACGUGUAUCUCUCGCCGAGGAGAGGGAGGCAGUGA